UGGUGUUUUAUGUUUGCAUAGACAAAGUCA
rnacentral:piRNA from 1 species